GACGAACGCUGGCGGCGUGCUUAACACAUGCAAGUCGAACGGUGAAGCGCCUUCCUUUUUGGUUGGUGUGGAUGAGUGGCGAACGGGUGAGUAACACGUGAGUAACCUGCCCCCUUCUUCUGGAUAACCGCAUGAAAGUGUGGCUAAUACGGGAUAUUCUGGGUCUGUCGCAUGAUGGGUCUGGGAAAGAUAUUGUUUCGGUGGGGGAUGGGCUCGCGGCCUAUCAGCUUGUUGGUGGGGUGAUGGCCUACCAAGGCGGUGACGGGUAGCCGGCCUGAGAGGGUGGACGGUCACACUGGGACUGAGACACGGCCCAGACUCCUACGGGAGGCAGCAGUGGGGAAUAGUGCACAAUGGGCGCAAGCCUGAUGCAGCGACGCCGCGUGAGGGAUGGAGGCCUUCGGGUUGUGAACCUCUUUCGCUAGUGAAGCAGGCCUGCCUCGUUUGUGGGUGGGUUGACGGUAGCUGGAUAAGAAGCGCCGGCUAACUACGUG
rnacentral:rRNA from 1 species